CCCAUUAGCUAAAGUGGUGCUUCAGGUUAAGAACAGUUUCAGGUUAAGAAUGGACCUCCGGAACGAAUUAAGUACUUAACUCGAGGUACCACUGUACCACAUUGGCCAUCCCUGAUGUAAGAGAUGAGAAAAUAUAAGGGAACCAAGUUUUGACCUGAGUCUGCAAACUGAAAAUUCUAUUGUUUCCGGUCCCUAUUAGUGAAUUGAAUCAGCCUAUUGAAGGUAGGUGUUUGUCAGAAUAUAUAUACAGCUCAUAUUAAGUAUAACAUUGCUUUUUCUCUAGUAAAAGUUUCCCCUUUGUUGUGUGUGCACAUGUUCAUGGUUUUUAUAGUUGAAACUCAAAAAUAAUUUUUCUUAAUUCGCAGAAGAGCAGCAGAUAACCAGUUAGUCCAAACUGCAGCAGUCAAUCCGUAUGAGGAAGUUGGAAAAGACAAUCACGCAUUUGGAUCUGAAACAGCAUUCUAAGAAGGAAACCAGAAAAGCUAAUAUAUGUCUUAUUUAUCACUGUGUGUCAAUGCCAGCAAUACAACACACGGAACUGUAUUGCUUUGGAUUGUGUUUUAAAAAUAUAAAGGCUCUGUGUACGCAGGAGCAGAUGGACAGAGCACAUCUGAGCAGAACUGAUUGCUGGUGCUCACAUUUAGGCAGAACCAAUCACCUGUUUUCAGCAGAGAAGGCAUGAACCAGAGACCUUACCCUUCUAGGCCCAAUGGACAAAUGAGCUACUCAGCCCCUCCAACAAAGUAAUAGGCACCCCCAAUGCUUAUAAUACCAACCACCUCUUCAGCAUUACACAUGUGGCUCUUGCUCCAGGAUAUCUGAGUACGACAUCCUGAAAUCCAGCCCUAGAAACCCAGAAGGGCAGGAUUCUUGAUCAAGGCAAAACAGCCACACACACAAGCCAAAGUUAUCAGGGCCCAGCUAUGGGAGACAAUCAAUCUGUAAUUAGAUGUCUUGUCUCUUCAAACGUUUGCAGAAAUAACAGCGCAUACCCUUUCCCCUGAUGAUAAUCUCCCUGACCCUCAUUGGGAGUGGCCAUUUGCCCCAGGAAGAAACCCUUAUGGGCAUGGUUGCAAACGGGGAAAUAUUGCUGGCAACCUGCCAUUCAUUUAGGUGCAUUUAUGUCUCCAUUCUAAACUCUUGUUUUCAACAGUCUUCCCCGGGUUUUUAACCAAACCAAAUGCUGAUGUAGUGGAUGUCAGUAUAAGACAGUCAACCGGGUAGCAAGCUUGAAACACCUUUUGUUUUUAUAAAAGCCACUGGAGCCAGUUAUGUGUUAACCUUGAAGCACUUAUUUUUAUUUUAAAUCCAAUUGUAAGAACUGUUUUCCUUUUAUUCUAAUAUCCACAGCUGCAGAGAUUUGGUUUUAGCUUAACUAGAGACAUGGGUAUGAAAAUGUCCAAAAGAACACCAGUAAAGAUUUUUCUAAGAUUAUCCCACAUCUUGGGUAACCAUUGCAAAACUGUAUAGAUCAGGAGUAAUAGAUUCAUGAUAUAAUAAUCUGAUUGUUGUGCACAAGCGGAUGUUUCUAACUAAAUGUUACUGCUAUUUAGAGAUGGGAAGGCCUUGAAAAAUACCCCAGGGGAAAACCAGGUUUCCCCACGUUUUUUUCCAAAGCCGUAUCCCCCCUGGAAAAAUUGAAGAAGAAAAAAGUGUGUAGAAUAUUCAAACUAUAUCAAACUAUUAUUUUCAAUUUUUCUGGGGAAAAAUAGCUUUGGAAAAAAACGGGGGGGGGGGGGGGAGACGGACUGUUGUUGUUUUUCCAAUUUUUCUGGUUUUUUUCCAGGCCUUCCCAUCUCUACUGCUAUAUGCAGACUGCAUUCUACUACUUGAUACAGAUCCUCAGCAGCCUUUGGAACUGAUAACAAAGCUGUAAUCUGAAGAAGAAAAACAACCCAUGAAUAUUUAAAUAAAAAUUCAAGAUGUGUUUCUCA